UACGUAGGGUGCGAGCGUUAAUCGGAAUUACUGGGCGUAAAGCGUGCGCAGGCGGUUCUCCAAGUCCGUUGUGAAAGCCCCGAGCUUAACUUGGGAAUUGCGCUCGAAACUACGAUGCUGGAGUGUGGCAGAGGAAGGUGGAAUUCCACGUGUAGCGGUGAAAUGCAUAGAGAUGUGGAGGAGCACCGAUGGCGAAGGCAGCCUUCUGGGCCAACACUGACGCUCAUGCACGAAAGCGUGGGGAGCAAACAGG
rnacentral:rRNA from 1 species